UACGGGAAGGGCAAGCGUUAUCCGGCGUGACUGGGCGUAAAGAGCUUGUAGGCGGUUUGUCGCGUCUGCUGUGAAAUUUCGGGGCUCAACCCCGAACUUGCAGUGGGUACGGGCAGACUAGAGUGUGGUAGGGGAGACUGGAAUUCCUGGUGUAGCGGUGAAAUGCGCAGAUAUCAGGAGGAACACCGAUGGCGAAGGCAGGUCUCUGGGCCAUAACUGACGCUGAGAAGCGAAAGCAUGGGGAGCGAACAGG
rnacentral:rRNA from 1 species